GGGGAUAAGCGGAAGAAAUUCCGUCUAAUACCGCGUAAUAACUCCGAGGGGCAUCUCUUGGGGUUUAAAGGGUAACACCGGCUACGGAUGGCCAUGCGGCGCAUUAGCUAGUUGGCGGGGUAACGGCCCACCAAGGCGACGAUGCGUAGGGGUUCUGAGAGGAAGGUCCCCCACACUGGUACUGAGACACGGACCAGACUCCUACGGGAGGCAGCAGUGAGGAAUAUUGGUCAAUGGGCGCGAGCCUGAACCAGCCAAGUCGCGUGAGGGAAGACGGUCCUAUGGAUUGUAAACCUCUUUUGUCGGGGAGCAAAAGACGCCACGCGUGGCGUUCCGAGAGUACCCGAAGAAAAAGCAUCGGCUAACUCCGUGCCAGCAGCCGCGGUAAUACGGAGGAUGCGAGCGUUAUCCGGAUUUAUUGGGUUUAAAGGGUGCGCAGGCGGAAGAUCAAGUCAGCGGUAAAAUUGAGAGGCUCAACCUCUUCGAGCCGUUGAAACUGGUUUUCUUGAGUGAGCGAGAAGUAUGCGGAAUGCGUGGUGUAGCGGUGAAAUGCAUAGAUAUCACGCAGAACUCCGAUUGCGAAGGCAGCAUACCGGCGCUCAACUGACGCUCAUGCACGAAAGUGUGGGUAUCGAACAGGAUUAGAUACCCUGGUAGUCCACACAGUAAACGAUGAA
rnacentral:rRNA from 1 species